rnacentral:ncRNA from 1 species
CAUGGGGAUUGCGAUCUCCCCACGAGGCGUCAGCCCAAGUAUCGCGUCCAAUAAACCCGAUUUGACGGAAGGACGCGACAUG